UCGGAUUUAGCUGAGCGGCAUAAGCACCUGCCUUGCAAGCAGGCGGUCAUGAGUUCAAUCCCCUGUACAGAU
rfam:Cavia porcellus supercont2_3 genomic scaffold, whole genome shotgun sequence.